CCCAUUGCAGAACUUGGCAUGAUGAAAAUGGUGAACCGCCCUCCAGAAUUAUGAUGAAAUAGGCUAGAAAGAAGAGCUGUGAAUUAAGAGAUAAGAUACAGUGUGAGUGAGUGAGUGAGUGAGUGAGAGAUUGUUCCAUGAGUGAGAGAUUCUUUUAUGUGUUUGUAAACAUGUCAUGUCAGCAUUCUAUAUAGCAUGGUAUUCUUUUUGUGUGGCAUUGUCAAUAUGAUGUGUACUAUUAUUUCACCCUUUGUCAAUAAUCAAUAUUUUGUACUACUGCAUUUGAGUUCAGUUUCACCUUUC
rnacentral:lncRNA from 1 species